rnacentral:rRNA from 1 species
UACGGAGGGUGCGAGCGUUGUCCGGAAUCACUGGGCGUAAAGGGCGCGUAGGCGGCGCGGGAAGUCAUCGGUGAAAGCUCAGGGCUCAACUCUGAGUCGGCCGGUGAUACCCUCGUGCUUGAGCACUGUAGAGGCAGGUGGAAUUCCGGGUGUAGCGGUGGAAUGCGUAGAGAUCCGGAAGAACACCGGUGGCGAAGGCGGCCUGCUGGGCAGUAGCUGACGCUGAUGCGCGACAGCGUGGGGAGCAAACAGG